GAUGAACGCUAGCGACAGGCUUAACACAUGCAAGUCGAGGGGCAGCGGGUUGAAAGCUUGCUUUCAAUGCCGGCGACCGGCGCACGGGUGCGUAACGCGUAUGCAACCUACCCAUAAGAGGGGAAUAACCCGGCGAAAGUCGGACUAAUACCGCAUAAAGCAGGGGCUCCGCAUGGAGAUAUUUGCUAAAGAUUUUAUCGCUUAUGGAUGGGCAUGCGUUCCAUUAGGUAGUUGGUUUGGGGUAACGGCCCACCAAGCCUACGAUGGAUAGGGGUUCUGAGAGGAAGGUCCCCCACACUGGUACUGAGACACGGACCAGACUCCUACGGGAGGCAGCAGUGAGGAAUAUUGGUCAAUGGACGAGAGUCUGAACCAGCCAAGUCGCGUGAAGGAUGAAGGAUCUAUGGUUCGUAAACUUCUUUUAUUGGGGAAUAACGACCGGCACGUGUGCCGGGAACGAAUGUACCCAUAUGAAUAAGCAUCGGCUAACUCCGUGCCAGCAGCCGCGGUAAUACGGAGGAUGCGAGCGUUAUCCGGAUUUAUUGGGUUUAAAGGGUGCGUAGGUGGACUUAUAAGUCAGCGGUGAAAGUUUGUGGCUCAACCAUAAAAUUGCCGUUGAAACUGUUAGUCUUGAGUAUGUUUGAGGUAGGCGGAAUGCGUGGUGUAGCGGUGAAAUGCUUAGAUAUCACGCAGAACUCCAAUUGCGAAGGCAGCUUACUAAACCAUAACUGACACUGAAGCACGAAAGCGUGGGUAUCAAACAGGAUUAGAUACCCUGGUAGUCCACGCAGUAAACGAUGAUUACUAGGAGUUUGCGAUACACAGUAAGCUCUACAGCGAAAGCGUUAAGUAAUCCACCUGGGGAGUACGCCGGCAACGGUGAAACUCAAAGGAAUUGACGGGGGCCCGCACAAGCGGAGGAACAUGUGGUUUAGUUCGAUGAUACGCGAGGAACCUUACCCGGGUUUGAACGCAUUUGGACAGGCGGUGAAAGCCGCUCUCUAGCAAUAGCCAUUUGCGAGGUGCUGCAUGGUUGUCGUCAGCUCGUGCCGUGAGGUGUCGGCUUAAGUGCCAUAACGAGCGCAACCCUUAUUGAUAGUUACCAGCAUGUAAAGAUGGGGACUCUAUCAAGACUGCCAGCGUAAGCUGUGAGGAAGGUGGGGAUGACGUCAAAUCAGCACGGCCCUUACAUCCGGGGCGACACACGUGUUACAAUGGCGUGGACAAAGAGCAGCUACCAGGUGACUGGAUGCUAAUCUCCAAACCACGUCUCAGUUCGGAUCGGAGUCUGCAACUCGACUCCGUGAAGCUGGAUUCGCUAGUAAUCGCGCAUCAGCCAUGGCGCGGUGAAUACGUUCCCGGGCCUUGUACACACCGCCCGUCAAGCCAUGGGAGUUGGGGGUACCUAAAGUCCGUAACCGCAAGGAUCGGCCUAGGGUAAAACCGAUGACUGGGGC
rnacentral:rRNA from 1 species